ACGGUUAAGACAGCCUAUAAAUUGAUGUGUUUCUAUACAGCCUAUAAAUUGAUGUGUUUAUAAUGUGUUUCUGUGAUUAUCAAAUAUUCGAGUCUCUCAAUUAGGCCACAGCCGCGUGGAGACAAGGCUAAUACUGGUGAACCUCAGAAUCUACACACUCAACACGAGAAAAUUUUCAGGUCCAAAAUUCUGGCAGAAAUUUAUCCGGCCAAGUUUUUCAAUUUAUCCAAAUGCCUCUAGGCAAGCCGUUGAAGGAGUUUUUUAAACCAGUUGAUGAAGGGUCUGUCAAACAUGUCCCAUGUUCAACAGGGGAAUCACUGCCAGAAAAUGCUGUUGAAGGUGGAUAUGAUAACGGACCAUCUUACCACGGGAGAGGAAUUGUUUCGGAGAAAACAAUUCCAGGCAAGGUCGGAGUAGAUUCGCCUAGAAAUGGCCGUUUGAAAGGGGCGUGCAUUCCUUACGGAUCUAAAGAGCACCGCGUCCACACAUUCGAGGUGCUCACAUCAACAUCGAAAACAUCCUAUGUG